rnacentral:rRNA from 1 species
CCUACGGGGCGCAGCAGUGAGGAAUAUUGGUCAAUGGACGAGAGCCUGAACCAGCCAUGUCGCGUGAAGGAUGACGGCCCUACGGGUUGUAAACUUCUUUUGUAAGGGAGCAAUUGGGUCCACGCGUGGGCUUCGCGAAAGUACCUGAAGAAAAAGCAUCGGCUAAAUCGGUGCCGGCAGCCGCGGUAUUAGGAGGGAUGCGAGGGUUAUCCGAUUUUAUUGGGUUAAAAGGUUGCGAGGGCGGAAGAUCAAGUCAGCGGUAAAUAUUGGGGGUUAAACCCGGUCGUGCCGUUGAUACUGAUGGUCUUGAGUGGACUAGAGGUAGGCGGAAUGCGUGGUGUAGCGGUGAAAUGCUUAGAGAUCACGCAGAACACCGAUUGCGAAGGCAGCAUACCGGCGUCCAACUGACGCUGAAGCACGAAAGCGUGGGUAUCGAACAGGAUUAGAUACCCCUGUAGUC